UCCGUAGGUGAACCUGCGGAAGGAUCAUUACCGAGUGCGGGCCCUCGCGGCCCAACCUCCCACCCGUAUCUCUCUCUACCUGUUGCUUUGGCGGGCCCACCGGGGCCACCCGGUCGCCGGGGGACGUCCGUCUCCGGGCCCGCGCCCGCCGAAGCGCCCUGUGAACCCUGAUGAAGAUGGGCUGUCUGAGUCGCAUGAAAAUUGUCAAAACUUUCAACAAUGGAUCUCUUGGUUCCGGCAUCGAUGAAGAACGCAGCGAAAUGCGAUAAGUAAUGUGAAUUGCAGAAUUCCGUGAAUCAUCGAAUCUUUGAACGCACAUUGCGCCCCCUGGCAUUCCGGGGGGCAUGCCUGUCCGAGCGUCAUUUCUGCCCUCAAGCGCGGCUUGUGUGUUGGGCGUGGUCCCCCCGGGGACCUGCCCGAAAGGCAGCGGCGACGUCCGUCCGGUCCUCGAGCGUAUGGGGCUCUGUCACUCGCUCGGGACGGAUCGGCGGAGGUUGGUCACCACCACAGUUUUACCACGGUUGACCUCGGAUCAGGUAGGAGUUACCCGCUGAACUUAAGCAUAUCAAUAAGCGGAGGA
rnacentral:rRNA from 1 species